CAAACACACACACAAGGUCCAAAGGCGGUCAGACAAACACACACACAAGGUCCAAAGGCGGUCAGGCAAACACACACACAAGGUCCAAAGGCGGUCAGACAAACACACACACAAGGUCCAAAGGCGGUCAGGCAAACACACCAGGUCCAAAGGCGGUCAGACAAACACACACACAAGGUCCAAAGGCGGUCAGACAAACACACACACAAGGUCCAAAGGCGGUCAGACAAACACACACACAAGGUCCAAAGGCGGUCAGACAAACACACACACAAGGUCCAAAGGCGGUCAGACAAACACACACACAAGGUCCAAAGGCGGUCAGGCAAACACACCAGGUCCAAAGGCGGUCAGACAAACACACCAGGUCCAAAGGCGGUCAGACAAACACACCAGGUCCAAAGGCGGUCAGACAAACACACAAGGUCCAAAGGCGGUCAGACAAACACACCAGGUCCAAAGGCGGUCAGACAAACAC